GUCCUAGCCCUAAACGGUGUUCACUUGGUGUGCGGGGUUUCGACCCCCUGCGUGCCGAAGCUAACGCGAUAAGUGAACCGCCUGGGAAGUACGGUCGCAAGAUUAAAACUCAAAGAAAUUGACGGGGGCCCGCACAAGCGGUGGAGCAUGUGGCUUAAUUCGAUGCAACGCGAAGAACCUUACCUGGCCUUGACAUCUAUCACGAAAAUCGGUGAAAGCCGGUGACGGCCCGAAAUGGUGCAGGGGAUAGACAGGUGCUGCAUGGUUGUCGU
rnacentral:rRNA from 1 species